rnacentral:rRNA from 1 species
UACGGGGGGGGCAAGCGUUGUUCGGAAUUACUGGGCGUAAAGCGCGUGUAGGCGGCUUGGCAAGUCGGGUGUGAAAGCCCUGGGCUCAACCUAGGAAGUGCACUCGAAACUGCCUCGCUGGAGUGCCGGAGAGGAAAGCGGAAUUCUCGGUGUAGAGGUGAAAUUCGUAGAUAUCGAGAGGAACACCGGUGGCGAAGGCGGCUUUCUGGACGGUAACUGACGCUGAGACGCGAAAGCGUGGGGAGCAAACAGG